rnacentral:rRNA from 1 species
UACGUAGGUGGCAAGCGUUGUCCGGAUUUACUGGGCGUAAAGAGCGCGCAGGCGGUCGUUCAAGUCGCGUGUGAAAGCCCCCGGCUCAACUGGGGAGGGUCACGCGAUACUGAUCGACUCGAAGGCAGGAGAGGAUAGUGGAAUUCCCAGUUGUAGUGGUGAAAUACGUAGAGAUUGGGAAGAACACCAGUGGCGAAGGCGGCUAUCUGGGACGGUUUCUGACGCUAAGACGCGAAAGCGUGGGGAGCAAACAGG